rnacentral:rRNA from 1 species
AACGAACGCUGGCGGCAGGCCUAACACAUGCAAGUCGAGCGCCCCGCAAGGGGAGCGGCGGACGGGUGAGUAACGCGUGGGAAUAUGCCCUUUGCUACGGAAUAGUCUCGGGAAACUGGGGGUAAUACCGUAUACGCCCUUUGGGGGAAAGAUUUAUCGGCGAAGGAUUAGCCCGCGUUGGAUUAGGUAGUUGGUGGGGUAAUGGCCUACCAAGCCGACGAUCCAUAGCUGGUUUGAGAGGAUGAUCAGCCACACUGGGACUGAGACACGGCCCAGACUCCUACGGGAGGCAGCAGUGGGGAAUCUUAGACAAUGGGGGCAACCCUGAGCUAGCCAUGCCGCGUGAGUGAUGAAGGCCUUAGGGUUGUAAAGCUCUUUCAGCUGGGAAGAUAAUGACGGUACCAGCAGAAGAAGCCCCGGCUAACUCCGUG